UGGCGGACGGGUGAGUAAUGUCUGGGAAACUGCCUGAUGGAGGGGGGUAACUACUGGAAACGGUAGCUAAUACCGCAUAACGUCGCAAGACCAAAGAGGGGGACCUUCGGGCCUCUUGCCAUCGGAUGUGCCCAGAUGGGAUUAGCUAGUAGGUGGGGUAAAGGCUCACCUAGGCGACGAUCCCUAGCUGGUCUGAGAGGAUGACCAGCCACACUGGAACUGAGACGCGGUCCAG
rnacentral:rRNA from 1 species